AGCGUUCAGGCUACAGUAGUAGAAAGGAGCAAGAGCACUACAGUUUCCCCUCUGGCUGCCAGCAAACCACCUUAGGAUUCAUUCUGAAUGCUUCAGCACGGACACAACUGGCCUGACAUCCCCAUGACUAAACUCCAUAUCUCACUGCUAAGAUGGACAACACUUUCCUACUGCAUAAAUUUAAUUUUUCACCGAUGAGGAAAAUGUCUCAUCUGCCAGAGGAAUGGCAUUGUAGAAAGAUAUUUGUCCUGGUAUAAUUUUUAGGUUUCUGAUUCAGAGCAUGAAACUUGAUUCAAAACAGGAUUAAAACCUAGAUGAAAAUCAUCAUAAACUAUGGUCCUCUGGACUGGUGAAGAAAGGCUACAAGAAACAGUUUGACCCUGAACAGAACUCCUUGACCUGGAAGAUGCAGCUGAUGGAGAACCUGCCUCUCAUGUGUACUUCUGGAGAACAAUGAGCUAUUCACUUCUGCUGUGCUGCAAGGCUUAUUCACUUUAUGGUCAAUUCUCAAAUGUCUGUGAGAAGAUUAUCUGGGUUAUGUAUUAUAUGUGUCAUGCUUUAAAAAAAAAGAAAAUCCUUUUCUGACCUCAUUCCAUGCUUAUAGUCUCAUUCUUAAAAGGUAAAUAUACUAAACAGAAUGUGCUAGCAUUUACUAUAUUGGGGGCGUUUAUCUAUACUUAACUCUAUUUGGGGAUCCUGUCCCCUCCUGUCACUGUUCUUGCCAACAUGGCAGCAAUUUAUUCUUGAAAUCUGCUGCUACAGAGUUACAGAGGGUUUGGUAUCUCAAGUACUGUGAACCCCUACAAUACUGUAAAAGUCAUUGGGAUUUGGGAUGGCUUGUUCUUGACCACUCUUUGCCCUCCCCACUGUGUAAUUCAUUCCUGCUAUUCUCUUUUUUCCUAUUCUUUGUACCUCUGAGCAAUUGAUUUCUUUUGAUAGGAGGUUUGAUUGAUGCUGUCUUGGCUAGAUAUCAGCUUUUUUAAUUUAUUUUCAGAGCUUUGUACUGUGGUAAUUGUGUAACAUUUGAAUAUUAUAGGUG